AGCGAACGCUGGCGGCAGGCCUAACACAUGCAAGUCGAACGAACCUUUCGGGGUUAGUGUCGGACGGUUUAGUAACACGUGGGAACGUGCCUUUAGGUUCGGAAUAACUCAGGGAAACUUGUGCUAAUACCGAAUGUGCCCUUCUGGGGAAAGAUUAAUCGCCUUUAGAGCGGCCCGCGUCUGAUUAGCUAGUUGGUUGAGUUAAUGGCUCACCAAGGCGACGAUCAGUAGCUGGUCUGAGAGGAUGAUCAGACACAUUGGGACUGAGACAUGGCCCAAAAUCCUACGGGAGGCAGCAGUGGGGAAUCUUGCGCAAUGGGCGAAAGCAUGAAGCAGCCAUGACGGGUGAAUGAUGAAGGUAGUAGGAUAGUAAAAUUCUUUCAACGGGGACGAUAAUGACGGUACCCGGAGAAGAAGCCCCGGCUAACUUCGUG
rnacentral:rRNA from 1 species